AUCCAGUUGAUGAGCCGCAAAUAAGAUGAAACGCGUUUCCUGGAU
rfam:Schistosoma margrebowiei strain Zambia genome assembly, scaffold: SMRZ_scaffold0000145